rnacentral:rRNA from 1 species
GUCGAGGGGAAACGAUAGAGAAAGCUUGCUUUUUCUAGGCGUCGACCGGCGCACGGGUGAGUAACGCGUAUCCAACCUGCCCACCACUUGGGAAUAACCUUGCGAAAGUAAGACUAAUACCCAAUGAUAUCUCUAGAAGGCAUCUGAAGGAGAUUAAAGAUUUAUCGGUGAUGGAUGGGGAUGCGUCUGAUUAGCUUGUUGGCGGGGUAACGGCCCACCAAGGCGACGAUCAGUAGGGGUUCUGAGAGGAAGGUCCCCCACAUUGGAACUGAGACACGGUCCAAACUCCUACGGGAGGCAGCAGUGAGGAAUAUUGGUCAAUGGGCGAGAGCCUGAACCAGCCAAGUAGCGUGCAGGAUGACGGCCCUAUGGGUUGUAAACUGCUUUUAUAAGGGAAUAAAGUGAGAGUCGUGACUCUUUUUGCGUGUACCUUAUGAAUAAGGACCGGCUAAUUCCGUGCCAGCAGCCGCGGUAAUACGGAAGGUCCGGGCGUUAUCCGGAUUUAUUGGGUUUAAAGGGAGCGUAGGCCGGAGAUUAAGCGUGUUGUGAAAUGUAGAUGCUCAACAUCUGCACUGCAGCGCGAACUGGUUUCCUUGAGUACGCACAAAGUGGGCGGAAUUCGUGGUGUAGCGGUGAAAUGCUUAGAUAUCACGAAGAACUCCGAUUGCGAAGGCAGCUCACUGGAGCGCAACUGACGCUGAAGCUCGAAAGUGCGGGUAUCGAACAGGAUUAGAUACCCUGGUAGUCCGCACGGUAAACGAUGGAUGCCCGCUGUUGGUCUGAAUAGGUCAGCGGCCAAGCGAAAGCAUUAAGCAUCCCACCUGGGGAGUACGCCGGCAACGGUGCAA